rnacentral:rRNA from 1 species
GGUCUCCGUAGGUGAACCUGCGGAGG